GAUGAACGCUAGCGGCAGGCUUAAUACAUGCAAGUCGAGGGGCAGCAUAAUUGUAGCAAUACAGUUGAUGGCGACCGGCAAACGGGUGCGGAACACGUACAGAACCUUCCUUCGAGCGGGGAAUAGCCCAGAGAAAUUUGGAUUAAUACCCCAUAGUAUUACGGAGUGGCAUCACUUUGUAAUUAAAGAUUUAUCACUUGAAGAUGGCUGUGCGGCUGAUUAGGUAGUUGGCGGGGUAACGGCCCACCAAGCCUGCGAUCAGUAACUGGUGUGAGAGCACGACCAGGCACACGGGCACUGAGACACGGGCCCGACUCCUACGGGAGGCAGCAGUAAGGAAUAUUGGUCAAUGGACGAAAGUCUGAACCAGCCAUGCCGCGUGAAGGAUGGAGGUCCUCUGGAUUGUAAACUUCUUUUAUAUGGGACGAAAAAAGGCUUUUCUAAGUCGUCUGACGGUACCAUAUGAAUAAGCACCGGCUAACUCCGUGCCAGCAGCCGCAGUAACAC
rnacentral:rRNA from 1 species